rnacentral:rRNA from 1 species
UGGGGAAUAUUGGACAAUGGGCGCAAGCCUGAUCCAGCCAUGCCGCGUGAGUGAUGAAGGCCCUAGGGUUGUAAAGCUCUUUCACCGGUGAAGAUAAUGACGGUAACCGGAGAAGAAGCCCCGGCUAACUUCGUGCCAGCAGCCGCGGUAAUACGAAGGGGGCUAGCGUUGUUCGGAAUUACUGGGCGUAAAGGGUGCGUAGGCGGCGCUCUAAGUUUGGUGUGAAAUCUCCCGGCUUAACUGGGAGGGUGCACUGAAAACUGGGGCGCUCGAGUAUGGGAGAGGAAAGCGGAAUUCCUGGUGUAGCGGUGAAAUGCGUAGAGAUCAGGAGGAACACCUGCGGUGCAGACGGCUUUCUGGACCAUCACUGACGCUGAGGCACGAAAGCGUGGGUAGCAAACA